UGGCCGGAAAUCAAAACCCUAAACCCAUCAGAUGUUUCCCACGAUCCAGUGAGAGCAAUGCGUCUCUACUGGAGGCCUCUGUGGCAAGCUACCAGCACGGGCUAAGACAGGAAAAAGCUCGUCUGAAAUCGGAUUGAGUGUGGGAUUAAAACCCAGCUCACUGCUAUCCAACACCCAGUGACUUUUACCAGCUGAGCCAGUUGGCAACUUUCCUAUCCUCAGUGAUGGAGAUUUGCGAGCAUGAUAAGCUUCUUGAGGAGGGAUGAUCUCAGAACCAUUAAAGUAGUGAGUUCUA